CCUACGGGAGGCUGCAGUGGGGAAUAUUGGGCAAUGGGCGCAAGCCUGACCCAGCAACGCCGCGUGAAGGAAGAAGGCUUUCGGGUUGUAAACUUCUUUUGUCAGGGAAGAGUAGAAGACGGUACCUGACGAAUAAGCCACGGCUAACUACGUGCCAGCAGCCGCGGUAAUACGUAGGUGGCAAGCGUUGUCCGGAUUUACUGGGUGUAAAGGGCGUGUAGCCGGGUUGACAAGUCAGUUGUGAAAUCCUGCGGCUUAACCGCAGAACUGCAUGGGAAACUGUUGAUCGUGAGUACUGGAGAGGCAGACGGAAUUCCAGGUGUAGCGGUGAAAUGCGUAGUUAUUAGGAGGAACACCAGUGGCGAAGGCGGUCUGCUGGACAGCAACUGACGGUGAGGCGCGAAAGCGUGGGGAGCAAACAGGAUUAGAUACCCUUGUAGUC
rnacentral:rRNA from 1 species